GAUGAACGCUGGCGGCGUGCCUAAUACAUGCAAGUCGAGCGAACGGACGAGAAGCUUGCUUUUCUGAUGUUAGCGGCGGACGGGUGAGUAACACGUGGAUAACCUACCUAUAAGACUGGGAUAACUUCGGGAAACCGGAGCUAAUACCGGAUAAUAUUUUGAACCGCAUGGUUCAAAAGUGAAAGACGGUCUUGCUGUCACUUAUAGAUGGAUCCGCGCUGCAUUAGCUAGUUGGUAAGGUAACGGCUUACCAAGGCAACGAUGCAUAGCCGACCUGAGAGGGGGAUCGGCCCCACCGGAACUGAGACCCGGUCCAGACUCCCAAGGGAGGCAGCCGUAGGGAAUCUUCCGCAAUGGGCGGAAGCCUGACGGAGCAAAGCCCCGUGAGUGAUGAAGGGCUUCGGAUCGUAAAACCCUGUUAUUAGGGAAGAACAAAUGGGUAAGUAACUGUGCACAUCCUGACGGUACCUAAUCAGAAAGCCACGGCUAACUACGUG
rnacentral:rRNA from 1 species